GAUCGCCGCGAUUAGCGAAAAAAAAAAUAAAAUAUACACAUCGUAUCAAUAAUAUCGUAUACACCUGUAUAGAAAAAAAAAAAUUAAUAAAUAAAAAAAUAGUGCCCCGCGUGAGGAUAACGCCGCCGCACUGCAGUCCCGUCGACGCACAGAUCGUCAGGUAAGAUAACAUAAUAAUAAUAGGAAUUAUUGUCCCGUAUGAAUUUACCUUGGUCAGGUCCGAAAAUGGUUUUUUUUUUUUUUUUUUUUAUUAUUAUUAUUUUUAAUACCUACGUUACGACAUUUUUAUAUUAUUUUUUUUUCGACAAAUUAUAUACCUGCGAAAAACACCCGAGGCGACGAAAAAGAAAAAAACAAAAAAAUGAUAGCGAGACUCUGUGGUAGGUUUUUUUACAAGCGUGCAAAUUUCUUCGGAAAAACACCGUUUUGUUUACGUCGCGCACGCCGUUCCAAAACCGAGCGAAAACCGUAAACUGACGAGAGUCCUAAUUUUCCCAAUAUAAAUAAUACGCAAUCCCGUUUGAAACGCGUAAACGAGCCGUGUAAAAACGUAUUGUUUUUCGCAUCUUAAUGGCGCCCGAGACGCAUGACGCGCAAAUGCUUGGAUAUCGGUCGGAAAAAUUGCCCCGAAAAAAUCAAAAAAUCAAAAAAAAAAAAAACCAUUUUUUUCGGUAAUUCUUCUCUCCCCCGACGUCGCGUUGCGAUUGCCCAGUAGCGUUUAACUUUAAUCGAUGCUGUUCGUCGUUAUAUUUUAAAUUUAUUUUUUUUUAUUCCCUUCCCGUUUUACCCGUGAUUUCUGUUGUCUAGACACCAGUGUUUCGCCGUCAACGGCGAUGCGCGUGAUUACUCAAAUUUUUCCGCGCGUCUCGUCGCGCGAAAUAUCGCGGCCGUUCGGUUUUUCGCGAUCGACACCCGAAAACGACGCGCGAACGCGUGUCGGGCGCGGUCACAAUGCCGCGACCGCACGGGUUUGUGUCGCACGCUUAUUUAUUGUUACGGGCGUUCGUAUUUCUCUCUCCGAGGGGUCGACGACAAUUGAACAUUUUUCAUCGCUACACACAAAAACAACCGUAGCGGGAUGUCUCGAACGUCUCCGGCGCGAGCGUAUAAUUUUCGGCUGCGGCGAAAUCAACCGACGGCGGAUGAUCGCGGGAAUUGCAGAUUUGCACGGGCCGCGAUUGCGUCCGUCCCCGGCCGGUCGCUUUUCCCCGGGCCGCCGUCCGAAUAUUGCGGUACGUACGCCGAGGACUUUGGGUCGAUUCCGCGUUAUUGUUACCGGAGAACGCCGACGAAACACCCCCCGCCCCCCCGCCCCCACGACUCGGGUACGGCGUUCUUACGGUCACCCCUCGCGACGUGAUCCGAAAAAAAAUAAAAAAAAUAAUAAUAACAAUUAUAACGACGACGAUCGGACCGCGCGCCGCUAUCACAGCUAUAGUUUUACGCGUUUUUCCGGCGCGAUCUCGUUAUAUUUUUUUUUUUCCCGCGUCCGGUCUACGGCGCGUUAUUACGCUCCGUCUGUGUGCCGUACGCGCAGAGUCGCGCCGCGGCACCCCGGCGUCACGUGGGCCGCGCGUAGACGUAGGCCGUUGUCGGGAAACCGAAACGCGAAACGAAACGGAAUCGCGGCGAAACGCGAACGGACGCGGCAGUAGCGGUCCGCCGAAAGGCCGCGCGAACGUGCAACGGCAGUGCGACGCGGUCGCGCGCCGCGCCGUUUGCCGAUCGGUCCGCGGUCCGGUCGCGGCGAUACCGGCCGCGGCCCACCCGUGUGUUCAGCCGCGCGCCGACGUGUGCCCGUUCGCCCGUGGCUCGCGUCGCGUGUUCCGUCGGAAACGACCGUCCCGGCCGACGAACGGGACGCGCGCCGUACGUUUCGCCCGUUCGACGAGCGCCCGCGACCGCGGAAGUUUAUCCGGAAACGGGUAAACGUGAUAAUUCGGUCGGAUUUCAAUACACAAUAAUACACGUGGACGGGCAUAGGCGUGUGCGUUUACGGUAAAAACCCAACAAAACGUAUCGCACGGGUCGGCCGUGUAUAUUUGCAAUUUAACAUGCUAAUUACAAUUACAUAACUAGGUUUUAAAUUUUUAAAUUUUUUUUUUUUUGUUAAAUGCACGCGCGUUAUUAUCUAUAAUACAAUUGUUAUCAACAUCGAAAUUUUUUUAUUUUUCGUUUUUACGAUUUUCGUCACUCCGGCAGUGCGCUGCGCGCGCGUAUAAAUUAUUGCGGGCGUACGGGAAUAACCGCGCAGAUAUUAUACAGAGUGUACCAGCGUCCGGGGGAUCACACAAAUUCCCCGUCGCAUACGAACAAUUAUUGAUGUAGGCACACCGCGCGUCAAAUUGACGGAAGCCGUCAACGUCUAUAAAAAAAAAAAAAAAAAAUACCGCGCGUAUGACGUCGACGAAAUUUGAUUAUUCUCGAGGAAAACGCGUCGCGUCUGUCGUCACACGAAUUUGCCGUCGAGAUUUUCCUCUCUUUCCGUCUCUCUCACUCUCUCUCUCUCCCUCUCUCUCUCUCUCUCUCACUCUGUCUGUCACCGUCAGUCGCGCCCGGUGUACACGCAAUAUUCCCGCGACGCCGUCGUCUCCGCACAUUAUAUUUCCAAAUCGCUUUUGGUUUCGUUGACCGAGUUUUCUUUCUAUAAUACGCGCCCGAUAUAAAUAAUAACAAUAAUAAUAAUAAUAAUAAUGAUAAUAACAUUAGCGUCGGCGAAUUCACUUUUCCCGAUCGCGUCGCGGUCGUCGCGUCAUCGCCGCCGCAUUGUUCCCGUCUCCGGCCCGUUCUUCGUCGUAUUCUUUUUUUUUUUUUCUUCUGUGUCUGAUUGUAUCGUCGUCGCGGAUGAUUGAUUACUUUUUUUUUCCCGCCCGUCCGGUCCUACGCGGGCUACGGCGCGCGCGCGGCGCGCCGUAACGGAAAACCGCGAGCGCGCGGCGAUGAAGCCAGGCGAACGAAAACAUCCGGAGCGGGAACCGUCGCGCGGCCGUUACGCGAGCGAUAUUUCGUAACCGCGCGUAAUCCGUCGGCGGUAUUCAUUUGCACUCGUUUCUCGUUCGAUUAUCGACGGCGUUUUCGCGGUCCCGCCAGUUUCGGCGCGUUUCGUCCGCGUACCGGCACCACCGAGUCGACAAUAUAGGCCUCCGGUCCGGGAACGACACUGUUAACCGACAUGACCACCGUCGACGGCUCGACGCUCUGCACAGAGCGGCCGUGAUUGCGAAAUAUUUAUCGACGCUCUGAACUUCCGACGCGGGUUUCCGAAAGAAACCGUUGUCUGCGGGUAGUUGUCGGUGUCCCGCAGAGGACGGGGGGGGGGGAAGGACCGCGGCCCCUACGGCACCACCCGCCCCACCGCCCUCGUAAACGCCGCGUCCGGGUCCCGUGGCGAAAAAUAACCGUACGCGCGUGUACAGCGUGCGCAUCGCAGACGGUGUACACGCGCGCGGUUUGCGGGACGACAACGCGAGCCGCGCGUAUACGCGACUGCCGUCUCGCGGUUGCGUAACCCCGCGCGCGCGCCGCGGGACUCGAUUUUUUCCGCACGGCCGCUCCCGGACCGCACGUUUUUUUUUUCGACCGACUUUGCCGGGCAAACGCCGCGCCGGCCGCACAAUACGCGCGUACGCGUACGUUUUUUUUUUUUUUUACACGCGGGACUCAUUGUUUUCCGCGCGAAACGAAACGCCGACGCGGUCUCGAACGGCGAAAAGAAAGCGAGAAAUAUAAUACGUAUAUAUAUAUAUAUAUAUGUAUAUCCCCCUCCCCGCAAAAAAAAAAAUAAUAAUAACAAUAAAAAAAUCACGCGUUACUGAAAGAAAAACGUUAGCGCGCCCGGGGUCGUCGUUGUCGCGGCACUACGACACACGCAAUACGCACACGGUAUACGGUCCGGCCGGUACGGGUGCGAUAGUGUUAUUGUUAUCCGCAAAUUAUCGUAAACUGCAAUCGAAAAAUACGAAACGUAUUUCCUAUAUGUAUUCGUUGACGGAUCGACGAAAGUCGUUAACCGUUCGUCCGAGUGGUUUUAAAAAAAAAAAAAAAAUUCUCCAUUUCCGGAUGAAGAAUCGUCAGCGCUCCCCGCCAUAGCGCCCGAAAGACGGACGUAGCGAACAGACGGACAUUAUCCCGCGAAACAUAAACGAGCGGUAGCCGCGGUAGUAUACGACACAGCGUACCCAUACAGGGUGAUUCAUCAAACGUGUUCGUCCCAUUUUUAGAGAGGUAAGUUAUGCAUACAUUCGAAUUCGUUCUGGUCAUCGGAAAUUUUAAGUGUACCUUAUACAUUGUCAAAGACAAAAACGGAUUUUCAACAUUUUUUCGGGAGGGGUUCUGAAAAAUCAUAUGUAUUUAAAAGAUAUCUCUAUUAAUAGAUGCCACUUUUUUGGACGAUAUUUUAUUGAAAUUAUGUCGGUGUCUAGGGGGAAGGGGGUCCAGACUUCCCGGACACUCUCCCCCCCGUAAAUCCGCCACUGGUUAAAGACGAUAUUUUCGUACACUUGAAUUUUCCUCGACAUUUAAGGAAUAUCGUUUGGCGAUACCGACUUUUGGUUUUUCAAACGAGAAUCUGUAUUGAAAAUUCUAAUGUACGGAUAGCGAAUUAUAGUUUGAAUACGUUUAGGUGUUGACGUUUUCGUCAAUUACUGUCGAACCGUUCGCGAGAUAUUUCACAUUCGAGUUUGACCAGGGUCAUAGUAGUGGAGCGCUAUUCAAACACCUGGCGCUGUGCCGCUACCCGAAUACCAUGCUCCGCUACUGUGUAAUGUAUCCUCUCCCCCUGUCUAAACUUAAAAGUGGAAUGUCUCGCGAACGAGUUGACGGAAAUCGGCAAUUUCAACACCGGAUUUUUUUCCGUUACUGGUUCUCGUUUCGAAAAACCAAAGCCGGCAUCGCCUACGGUCCUUAAACGUCGUGAAAAAUCCGGAAAAAAACCCUCCGAAAACGGGGCGGGCGCGCUCAAUGAAUCGCCCUGUAUAUAGUCCGUUGAAUAGAGACAUUGUACGGUUUAUAUGAAAAAAAAAAAAACAAAAACAAAAACGUAAACACCCGUGUAUUAUACGUGUAAACCGCGAUAAUUUAUUAAAGAAAUGGAAAAAUAAAAAAAUAAUAAUAAUGACGAAAUACGGGUUAACGCGCGCGCGCGGUCACAAACGAGGCGUUGUUACGGACGGCGCGGUCGCGGCUACCCCCGCACGACGGCGCGGGAGUAACGCGUCGCCGUCGACCGCGCGGGGUUAACGGUCGUCCCGUGCGCGUACGGCCGCGGUACACUCGCGUGCGGCGGGCGCAAGUGCGACGAUAUCGCGCGCCCGCGUGCCGAGGACCGCCGCGGCACCGCCGGCAACUGGACCGGGGCGCGAACACCCGCGGUGUCCCGGCCGCGGCGUCCGGAGGAAAGAGUACCGCCGUCGCCGUUGACCAACCGACGUCCGCAACAACACGCCCGGGCUAAUAACACAUCGCGCUCGUAUUGUUGCCAUUACGCAUUGUUGUCGUUAACGUAAUAAUCGCGAGAAUUUCGCGCGUCGAUCCGCGACACCGAUAACCCGCAAUGUGCGCUGUAAAUGUCGUUAUACCGUUACGACGUCAUUAUGCAUUGUUACGUACGCCGCGCGAACAAUCGCGGACGGUUUUCGAAAUUUUCCCCGGCCUCCGCACAGAAAAAAAAAAAAAAAAUCUUUGGGCAAACGUCACGCGUACGCGCCUGUCCGUCGGCAAGUAUCGCGGCCGGGAGAUUCGUCCGCGAUCGGCACCCACCGCUUCGGCACGUGUUCCGAAACAACAACGGCGAAAUAACGAAAAUAACGUUUUUUUUUUUUUUUCUUUGCGUCGGGACGUGCGGCGAACGCACAACGCGGUCGUACAUUUUUCGUGAUCCGGCCAGCUCUCGGCCCUCGGAACCACUCGCACGCCCGUGGACGAUCCGUUCGUUGUUUACGCGCGGUCGCUUGUACAAGUCCACCGCGUAUACCGACGUCGGCGGCCGUGGCGCAGCGAUAACAUAACCUAACGGCCAGCGGUGUUACCGUAAACUAGUCGUCGGUCUCGGGCUGCAGGACGCCGUGCUCUACGAGAGACGGGGAAAACUCGAUUUUCGACGGGUCCGACGUGAAAACCGCAGUGGCACCCGAGGAUGUAUACUCGCUCAAUUGUCAUUAUUAUCAUUAUUUUUAGUUUUUUUUUUUUUUGAAACCCGCGGCCGUAGCCGAAUAUAGCGGAAUAGAUUAAACCUCCGUAUUCCGUUUGAACAGAAUCGAGAAUGACGACGACCUGCCCGCGCGGCGGCGUGGGCGCGGGUGUCGUGGGCAGCCGGCGUUGCAGAGGCGCGUACGACUAUAAUAUAAUGACAUUGCGUACAGGACCGCGGACCGGUGAUUUCGAAGCGAAAACCGUAUAAUUAGAAUUUAUCGCCGAUUCGAUCGCGCGAGAGGGGUGACGGCGACGAAGUAGGGGCGGGAAUAAUAAUAUGACGACGGGACUCGCGAGAAAAACAGAAAAAAAGAGACUGACACACUUCGCACGACCGGCGGGCCAUCGUUGUGGGUGAAGGUAGGAUAUAGAGCGGAAUUCAAUUAAUUUUACGCAACGAUAAACCGAUAUGGUAACGAAAAACGAUUCGCAGCGAAGUUUGUUUUGAGCGUGUGCGUACAUUUUCCCGGUUAUUACGAAAACCGCGUGGUAAAUCGAAAAACGACCUCUUUUAAGUGCCGCUAGAUAGAAUUUCCAUUCGGAAAAAGCGCUACGCUUGGUAGGCCGGGCGAAGAUUUCUGGCAGAAAAGCCGUUCGCGAAUAGAAUUGGAUAAACACCGUCGUAAAACCGAUACAUAUUUCCGCGCUACGCUCCGAAUCUCUAAAACGUGCCGCACGAGAGCCGCGGCCGAAACCAAAAACGGCAAACUAAAAAGAAACAUUGUUGAAUCGUAACGAUAAACCGCUCGGUACGAGAACAAGGACGGAAAGCGAUAACGCACGCGCAUAUCGCCGUAAACCCGUGUGAUAGAUCGCUCACUAUACGCUCCGAAUCUGAAAACGCCCGUCGUCGAUGCCUCGCGCAAAAACGUCCACUGUGCGGAGCCUCGAUAUUUUCCGAGCCGGUUCCGCCGGCGUACCUACGAAUAACAAUAACGUUCGGUUUUCGCAACGGUACCGGGUGUUAUUCCGACAAACGCGAAUACGGACGGGACGCCGACUUUUGGGUCGCCGACGUUGCGUACACGUACGCGAGUGGCGAGCGCUCCGGACAUUCUUUUCGCUCGAUCCCGCGCAAAUGAUUUCUUUUCGGCCGCGGACGCGACAAUGUCUCGUUUCGGCGUACAAGAAAAAAAAAAAAACCCCUGACAUAAAUAAAUCAUCGCAGAGUCGCGACGACGUUCGCAUAACAAAAACGUGAGUACGUACCUACACGGCGGUGGCUCUGCGGUUUUAUUUAUAUUUUUUUUUCGGGACACAGACUGUACCGUUGUGGGCGCGUACGUGCGUUUUUUUUUAUUUUUAUUUUCGCGUUAUAUAACGCAAUAGUUAUUACGCUGUUACACCGUGCGGCGUCGACCUAAGGCUCUUCAAGGCUCUUCANNNNNNNNNNNNNNNNNNNNNNNNNNNNNNNNNNNNNNNNNNNNNNNNNNNNNNNNNNNNNNNNNNNNNNNNNNNNNNNNUUCUUUUCGGCCGCGGACGCGACAAUGUCUCGUUUCGGCGUACAAAAAAAAAAAAAAAAAAAAAAAACCAAAAUAAUAAGCAUAAACACGAAAUCGUCGUUUACCGGCGACGCGAAAACCGUACAACAGUGUUGUAUUUUAUCGACGCUUCCGAACUAUAUUUUGAUACAUUUUUAACAAUACCAAUCGAACAGUAUCGGAAUUCGGUUCUCCGACUCCUGCGCCGUCGGACGUAAGUGCUCGUCGCAUUACCGAAAAUAUUGCAAACCAAAUCAAUUAUUCUGACCGUAUCGUCGCUGAAGAUUUGACGGUUCGCUAACAUUUUAGCUCGGCUUUCGAUUCCGUAGCGCCGAUAUUUCGGCCACCUUACAACGUUUCGAUUUUCGUUAAAUACCCAACAGUAUACUGAAUUACCCCGCCUCCCGACCGUCGCAAUAAUCACCAUACGUUGCGGCCCGCGUAUCGUAACAAAAAUCUGCCCCUACGUGUCCUUUUUUCUCUUUUCCCAUUCAAAUGCCACGAUUACUCUCUAAGAGUUUUUUGCCGUCGUUACUACAUCACUUCGUCACCCGCGGCCUCUAACCCGAACCGCGUCUCUCCGCCCCACGGGACUAAUCGACAAACCCGCCAAACCGUCUUUUCCCCGAUCGUCCUCUAUAAUAGGUCUUUUUUUUUUCUUCGGGUCUUUCUUCACUCCAUUCCAUUCAGCUGCCCCAUAACCGUCUCGUCGUUCGGUCUGACCGUCGAGCGCCUCACACAGCAUAGCACGGUAUCCGCGCCAAUUCCGUCAUAUGGCACAGCUGUUCUCUGUACCGUACGUCCACGUCCAGUGCCGUAUACGCCGUAUCGGGAUCGGAACGGAAAAAAAAAAAAAGAAAAAGAAAUAAUAACAGACGCGUACUCGUGUACACAUUACGUACCGUGUGAUGGUGGUCACGGACGAUUUAUAUGUGUGUUUAUAUAUAUAUAUAUAUACUGCGACAAUACGCACUCGCGUUACAGUUCGGUAUUAUUCGGGUACACGGUGAAAAAGAGAGGAGAAGUGUAAUAUGCGUAGGUACGUGUGGAAAAAAAAAAAAAAUUGAAAUCGACGAAAUCGAAAGUGUUACGGAUUGGUUCCGUUGCGUCACCGACGCCGCCGCCGCGGUAGUCUAUUAUAUAUUAUUAUUAGGCGUAUUAUUUGCCCAUCGUGCGGCCGUCGCCGUUUACGCCAAAACGAAUGAAAAACUAGGGUUUUCCGGGUUACGUUCUUUUGUUAUCCGCUUGCGCAAUUCGCAAUAGUAUUGGGUAAAAAAAAAAAUCUAUAAAAUAAAAAAACACACACACACACAAUAAUAAUCUGUUGCCGAUAUUGCCGUCGCCGCCGCGCAUAACCACCGCAUUCGGUAACGUGCCGUCGGCCCGUGUAAAACGGUAAAACUCCGCGCCCGGGUAAAACGUUUUCGCGGCGACGCGGGACGACUGCCGCCGCGUUCGACGGCGGACCGCGGAAUCUCGUACGCGGCUACUACGAUCGCUGUACAAUACGUAUUUAUUUGUUCGUUUUUACGUCAACGUACAAUUGUGGUUGGCAUAGGCGCGUGCGUGGUCCCGAACAUUGAAAAUCAAGCGAAAACGGUGGGGGUUCGCAGUUGGCGGCCCGCGUUAUGGACGCGCUCGGACGGGCGAGCUUUCGGGGGAAGUCUGAAGACGAACGAAUAGGUACGGCGGGACGGAGCGUGGUAAUCGGGCGGACCGAGACGGGGGCUUUGAAAUCGACGGUGGAGCGAAGAGCAGGAGGAACGAUUUCACCGACGAGGAGAUUUGUCGGUAGAUUAUAUUGAUAAAUAUAACACGCGUCAUACGAUAUUAUUUUGAUUAUGACGCCGUGUACGCGUUAUUCGGUUUUCAUUGUGCCAUUGGCUGCACAUCGGUCAAGAGUUUUUUUAUUCCGUGAAAAAAAAAAAUAAUAAAAUAAAAAUAAAUAAAUAAUAAUAACAAUAAAACCCCGGCGACGGACGCGAAUUAUUUCGCUUUCGCCUUAAUUGGACGGCCCGUCGACGACGACCGCGGGAAUGUUUCGUAAACUGUAUCAAAUCGCGAAUCACGCGGACAUUCCGCACAUGUGUCGGUUGUCGUUGUAUUGUGCAGCGUUACCAGCUCGUACGACUCGCGUACGCGCACCGCGUCGCAUAUCGCGGCGCGACGUGUCGAAAGUUUCGCGAACGGCACGUGUGUGUUUAUAUCAUUAUAUUGUUAUGUAUUCGUUAUGGAAAAAAAAACCACACACACACACACAUAUAAAUACAUAAACGCGCGUAUAAUACUUUAUUGUUUCGUCCGCGAUAAUACACAUACAUACGUACAUAGUAACGAUAAUAAUAAUACGUUUGACGCGAAACGCGCGCGUAGCGUACGGCGGUUAUUGUGAGCCGUCGCGUUACCGCCGCGGUCGUCCGGGCGGUAACGAGUUUUGCGUCCGGAAAAAAUACGUCGCGGGACGUGUAUGGAAUAUUACAGGGGUCUACGGGCUCGCGUCUACAGGAAUCCCGAAUUGAGUUCGGCAUAUCGCCGUAGCACUUUAUCGUGCCGGUUGUUUCGCAUUUGUAUUUCGACGGCGUGAUUGUCCGGCACGCGUACGGCGGCGAAGGGGCGACCGUUUACCACCUCUGUCUUUAAGAAAUCGAAAAUGAUCCUACGGAAUAACCGCCGCGUCUUUUAUAAGAUACCGCGUGUGCGAACAAUUUCGGGCUAGCUAACGCCAGUUCUAAAAUGAUCCGUAAUAGCAACAGAAGUGGAAGUUUGUUCUGGUCUAUAACCCUUCGGAGAUGGGAAUGGAGGGUAUGAAGGAGAGUUUUUAAGACAAUAGUAUAAAUGCAGAACGUAUUGCCUGUGUACAGACGUGGAGCACAGUAUUGAAAAACGCCCCCGGUUAGUGACGUGAACAGGGAGGAAGGGGGAGGUAAUUUCGAUGUUAUAUCCCUCCCGUCGGCUUACGAAUGCAACAAUAUAACAAUUAUUUUGUUUAUUCGGUAAUUUUGUUGUUUCGAAAUUAAAUAUUCCAUCAGCCAAAUUACAAGGUAAAAAAGUUCGAUUUAUUCAAUAAUAAUUUGCUUUUUCUCAUGUGGCUUUUAAAUUCGCAUUGCCGGGCUAGGCGAGGAAGAAAAUUCUAGAGAGGGUCCAGGGUCUCUGAACACCCCACACCUCAUCAGAAACCCAUAUGUUUUCAGUAAAAUGUCGUCUGAAAAUCAUGCGUCUGUUAAUGGACACUUUUGAAAUACCCGUGCAUUUCUAUCAUCAAGACCCCUCUCAGAAAAAUGUUUGUGAAUCCGCUGAUACUGAUACAUACGCACCGUAGUAUCGCGCACGUGCUACCGACGUAGUGUCGUUUUAUUGUUAUUAUUGUCAUAAGAGCCUGUCGUGCGCGAUUCGGUUCCGCGCGGUCGUGAUUUCGUUUACGCGCAAUAAAAAUAAAACUGUCGCAUUGAUAUUCAAAUGAGAUAUAGGUGUACACGUUAUAUUGUAAAUAGACGGGCACCCGAAAACUGGUCGGACGACCGGGCGGCGCAAUUAAUUUGCUCGUUCGCGUAAUUUAUGGGCUGUUGCCCGCAGUCCAUCCGCAUGUUGGAAAAACAGAACGAACGAACAAAAAAAAAAAAAAAAAACACGUAGUAAUAUUAUAUUUUAUCAACGCGUUGUCGGAUAAGUAGUCGUUGAUGUAUUUCACGGUCUCGGAGCGACUAUGAUAAUAUACCGCGUGCGUUUUUCAAUUGCCUUUUGAGUUCGCAAUCGGCGUUCCCCCCGCCACCUUUCGACCGUCUCCGCGGACCGCCACGAUCUCGAGCGCAGACCGUUUAAAUAAUUUUUUUUUGUCUUUAAGACUGAGAAUACAUAUAAAAUUGCAGCACCAGCGUAUUGCGUGUCUGCAGAUGUAUGGUUCCGGCGUUUCAAUCCCGUCCCUGCCGUGUUUUUACGUUUAAAUUUCACGGAACACGCCGGAAAUACCCCUGCAGACCGAAACCGUGACAAAACUCCGGGACCUCGGAUGUUUUUUUCGCUCCAAACGGGAAUAUUUGACUUUUGCGGACCCAGAGCCAGAGGGCAGUCUUACCCACCCUCAGACUAUAAAAGUUUUCACACCCACAAAUAAUUAAUUGUUUAACGCAAAUGCAAUACAGGAUUUUUAAGGGAAAAAAGCGAAACGAAGCGAUGGAUGUAUUGACGUUGUAUUAUGAUGUAUUUCUAUUAGAAAUCUUACUCCAAUCAAAAACUAAGUCGGCACAAUGGUUUAUCGAUGCUGACAGAUUAUAUAAAUUAAACGACCUAUCUUCUAAACUUCCCGGAACUUCAACAGUGGCCGCACCCAUCCCCGGUAUUACCUAUUUCGUUUUUUUCUUUCUUAACAGUAAAUUUUUUAGGACGGCCCUCUCGCCCACACCCCCCCCCCCCCAAAAAAAAAAAAAAAAACAACUCCAGAACCGCCGCCACCACCGGCCGUGCACUGUUUCGAACAAAUAUCAAACGAAACGCGUAUUAUUAUAAUAUCGUAUAUUAUUUUACAUAAUUGAGAUUCGGAACGGCGAUAGGUAUUUUCACUGCGGGCGGCGACGGCCGGACACGGGCAUCGGCACGUUUAACAUCGCGACCGUGCCGUAUAACAUCGAUAAAUAUGUACCCGCCCGCGUAUAUAUACGGCCGAGAUAUUUGCCAAGGGACUGGUUUUCACCGUGUUUUGACAGGGGCAUACGUACGUGUGUAUAUACGUACGCCGGGUAUCGCCCCGAGAUCGCGAGCUACCGGUAUUAGAAUAUCAUUAAACGUGAAUAUAUAUAUGUGUGUACAACGUGCACCGCGGCGUUAUAAUAUAGGAUCGGAUCGGUGGAGGGGAGGAGGGGAAAUAAAACUGCGACGUAUUAGCAUAAAAAACGGCCGAUCGGCCGGCAGCACCGGCAUCGCCGCGGCCGCGGCGACUUUCGGUUUCACCCGGUUUGAUCGAUCGGGUAUCCGGUCCAUUCAUCUUUGAUCCAAUUUAUAAUACGUGUGUGCACCGCAGUAUACCCACUUAACGAGAACGAGAGCCCGCCCGCCUGCGCGAGGAGAUCGAAUAAUAAAAAGUAAUAAUAAUAAUAAAAAAAAAAAAAAAGAAAAAAAAAACGAAGUGACCGACUCGCGUGCUCACGUCAAACGUCGCCCAUAUACGCGUGUGCGCUUUUGUUCAUAAUUUUGCUGGUCGUUGGCCCCUUUACAGAGACGCGCGUUAGAUCAUAAUAGGAUCGCGAACCGGGCGCUGAUGCUGUUAUAAUACGCGCGUAUACCUAUGGGUAUUAUUAGGUACAUAUAUAGGUUUACCUUUAUAGUAUAGUACACCCGUAUGCUAAUGGACCGCUAAUAGAACCAACACACACACGAACUAUAUACCUAUAUGCGUAUACGAUUUAGUCUCGUGUUCGAAUACGUGUACGCGUAUCAUAAAUUAUUAUUAGGUAUACCUAUAUUAAUAUUGUAAUACGCGACAAUAACUCGUAUUCCACAGUAAUAUUUUUUUAUUAUUAUUUUUUUUUUUUUAUCGAAUACGAUUAUAUUUAUCGUAUACGUGUAUGAUAUAAUAUAUCGUCGCGUCUCGAGAAUUCCGUUUGUUCGAAACACGUCGUUUGUAAGUAUAGUACACGUACAAUAAUAUAAUAAUAUAAUAUAUAAGGUAUAUUUCCCGCGUACGCGUACGUAUAUAUGUAUAGGUACUGUACGCGAUUAUCGUGAUGGAUAUCCGCGACCGCGAGUGGGCGAAAAUCUCCGGGACACUGUUAUAAUAUUAUGUACGCGACGCGUUAUAAACGGGCCCGUGUCGUCGCGACAGUAAUUUUCGGAACCUCGCUAGGAUCUUUGAAUAUCAUAGCCGUACGUUUUCGCGCGCCGUAUGAAAUAUUACCGUCGUCGCUAUACACGCGCGACCGAUUGUAAUUAUUUCGUCCGGUCCCCGUAAAAAAAAAAAAAAAUAAUAAUAAAACGAUUUUCAGUACACCGCGAGGCGUGAUUAAUAAUAUUAUACGAUUAUAUUAUUAUUAUCUUUGUCGUAUUUCCGUAUAAUAUUCAUAAUAAUAUCAUUAAUAUUAUCAACAGCGCGCGCCGUCGCGACUCCUACGGUGCAGAUAUUUGAACCGCUUCGAUUUAUCAAAACGUUCGAAAUGCAUAAUUUAUAUACAUGAUAAUAUUAUGGUAGGCGAGUGAGUUUUGGAAAAUGUACGAUUUCGCUAGCGUGAAUUUCGACUGUAGAAAAAAAUAAUAAUAAUGACAAUAAUCCCACAAAAUUCGUUUAUUUAUUCAAAGCCACCGAUCGAAAGUUUCAUUUAAUAAAUAAUAUAAUAUAUUUUAUAAGGUAGGUACUUGAGUUCAAACGAAUAAUAAUAAUAAUAAUAAUAACAAUAAUACCGAUGUCCGCUGCGUGUGAGACGAUGUGGGAUUGAUCGAUUGUCCGGUUUCCCUCUUUGCGGGUCGGCGUCAUCGAGCGAGCGUUAAAGUCUCGGCGCGGUCGUCUGUACCAAUAAUGUGCGAAACCGCGGAAAAAACUCUCACACUUCGUGAAUAGCUCCAAUUCGAAUAUGUAUUUAUUUAUUUUAAUUUCAAUAGUAAAAACUAUUUGUAUCGGAAUGGAAUUAUGAAAAUUUGUAUGUAUAGUUUUCCAAACGCUCGAUACAGCGUCUAGGAAUCAGAAUUUUGAAAAUCUGCAAAUUUUAAAAAACCUUACUAUUCUACGAGCCGUGAGUGUUUUUCCAGCGAAGCAUAGUUUUGUACAAAAUACACGGUGCAGGAUCGGGCAACUUUUUACUCGAGUUUUAUGUUUUAAAAUUAACUUUGACUUUGGUUCGUGUAAUUUUUUACGGCGUCUUAUUAAUUUAAAUUACAGUCGACGAAAAUCGAUUACACUCGUCCGCGGUUUCGAUUGUUAUACGUCUAUUAUAUUCUACGGCUAUCGUUGUAUACAUUAUCGCGUUCGACGAGCGCUGUUGCAGUUGCGUAACUGCAGUUUAUCUAUCGUGGGUCCGCCGGUAUUAGCUAUACACGUACAGUUUAUGUGCAUAGCCGUAUCCUGUACCGCAGCAGUAGGUAGCGACAAUAAUAAUAAUAAUAACAACAAUGUAACGAGUAAAAAUCGGCGCACGCCGGUCGUCCGGCGGAUUUCGUAAAUAUAAUGUUUUUCGUUCGUCUAGUCUCGAGGAAAACGCCGUGCGCCUAUUAUAUGGGUGUACACACGAAUGUUAUACCACACAACAUUAUUGCGGUUCGAUCGGGCCGCGGCCUUGGGCGUCUGCAUCGGCGUAUUAUAUGAUAUUAUUAUGUGUGUAUGGAUACGCCGUCGCCUUAAACGAAAACGAACAACUGUAAUAAUAUAAUACGGACGAAAGAUGUUGUCUAAAUAUUUACGCGGGACCGCUGAUCGAGAACCGAUGCUGGGGAGAAAAAUAAAACCGACGAUAUUAUACAUUCUUGUACGUUAUCGCUACGUAUUUUUUAUUUAUUUUUUUUUUUUAACAACGUUGCGAUACGGCUGUUGUCGUAUAUCGCGUGCCCGCAGACCUAUUACUAGACGCGCGUAGGUAUAUACCCCAAUACAAUAAAUAUACACGACAUCAUCGCAACGAUGAUUGUAUACACAUGAUUUUUUUUAUCGUCUCGUAAAAUCGCACAAACGAUUAAUUAUACGAUUUCUCAAUGUCUUUAAUAAUUAAAAACAACGGCAACAAACAAAAAAAAAAAAAAAACCGUUUACCGUGAUGGUUAUCGCGGGGAAAAAAAAAAAAAAAAAACCCGUGCGUUACAGUACACCUAUCUGUAUUACGUGUAAUAAUGCCGAAGAUUUAAAAAAGAAACCCGUUUUCGUUAUCGGGGCGUACUACGAAUUCGGCGAAAUUGUCUUGUCCGUUAUUCGGAGCGUGUUUAUUGUCGAGGACACCAGACGUCCGAUAAGACGACCCCGAAUUUUCGCCGUGGACAAAUGCAUCUUGAAUAGGAAACGCCGGUUGAGAUUUAAAAAAAUAAAAUAAAUACCCAUCCGAGUGUUUUUAACAGUGCAGAAGGCAGACCUGAUGUAACGAAAACUGCCAGAAUGGUUUUGGAAUCAACCUCCAAUCAUAGACGAAUUAUAUGCUAACCUUAAUAAUUAUUAUCGAUUUGUUCGUACGUUCGCGAGUUCUUGUCAGAAUUUCGAUCGAAAAAAAACCCUCGUUUCGCUAUACGUUUAAUCGUGUCACGGGGGCGAAAAAAAACUACUCGAAUGACCGAAAAUCAUUACGAAUUAAAAUUUCGCAGUUGGCAACGGUGUUUCGGUUUAUUUGGAAUUCGGAAGAACCCGCGCUCGAGCAAUGUAUUUUUGUUUCCGGUAUGGUAUUCCGUUUCUAAUUUUCGGUACAAUAAUUUGUCGAAUCCGUUUGUUAUUUCUAAUGUUUUUUUUUUUUUUUUUUUUUUUCCACUACCGAGUGAUGUAUAACGAGCGACGGCGGCCGAAGUUUGUAUAUUUUAUAUUGGAUCACGUACGACGGUUACAAUAAUAAUAAUAUUAUUGACGCGCGCUCUCGCGGACAGGUAAUGGAAAAAUACAUUAACCAGCGCAGUGCGUGCGCGCGUACAAAAACGUGUUAUUACGAGAAUUUCGGUACAUUAUAAUAUAGAUUUAUCUCGUGACCCACAUAUAUUACAGCAGUGUACAUGUGUAAAAGCGCGUGUAUCGGAUUACGCGAGAAAUACGAUAUAUUUACAAGAUGAUACGGUUUAUUUCGUUUUUUUUUUUUUUUCUCGUCUAUAGAUCAUCAUCGACUGUCGUCGCCACCGGGCUCCGUGCAGUUGUUCCGUCUUGGUAACACAGGAGCUAAACUACUCGGAAAAAGUGAACGAAACAAAAAGAAUUAAGUUUCCUACAUUAUAAUGUACCCGACGACGUGGUAUUGGGUUUUCGAUCAAAUCGAAUCUCCAGACAAUACAAUAGCGGGAUAUUAUACUUGUCUAAUGAUCGCUUUUUAUUUAUUGGACGUAAGAGGGCGAACACGUGCAGGUAUAUAGUCUAACGGACCCGUCGAGAAAAAUCGCUCCGAUCAGUUUCCUCCAGUGAAAUAUAAUUUGUCAUCGUAAUAUAUCAAAUGACUGAUUAGCACAAAAAUAAUUGCUCGGCACACAGUAUUUUUCCCAUGUGUAUAUUGUACGCACUACUUUGGUAUAGGUUUAUAAAAAAAAUACGAAAUACGAUCCGAUAUUGAAACGGGUUUUAAACGGCCUUGCAUACGCGCGAUUAUCGAAUAAUAAUUACUACAAGUGUCUAGCGACAUUAUUAUCGUCGAAAGUUAAAAUGCUCAGAGGCAUUAUUUCAAACCGCAAGUACCCGUAUACAGUAGGUAUACAGUAGACGUAACACGGAGCCGGAGAAGAUUAUCCAAUAAACUGGACGCGCUUGUAUCGGAGUCAGUAAUAUUGGCUACAAUACAAUCGAUAAUCAAUCGGCGGUAUCCGCGGGAAAAAAAGAACUCGGGGAAGAAGCGAAACGAGAUAGAGAUAUGUGAAAUAAAAAAAAGGUCGCUAAAAAGGAUGUAGUAUGUCGAACGGACGAACCUACGGAUACAGUGGGAAGGAUCGUGCAUUGGAUGUGAAAUGACGGAACAGUCCUUAUGGUCGCGGCCCGGAAAUCACAGAUGAAGGAGGAAGAUGAGGACGAUUCCGCUUGGCACAGUACAUAUUUGUUUUUCGUCCCGUCCAACUGGCUCGCACGCCGUCACAUGCCGAAACUCUCCGGACACUUCCGUCGGGACCCGUUAAACUCGCUAGACGCGCGACGAGUGGUAAUAUGGCCGCCGUCGGACGCGAGGGUUUCGGAUCGUUGUCCGUGCUGCGGACGGCCCGACGAGAGUUUUCCCGCGGCCCGCCGGGUCCCCGGGUAUAACGCGCGUGCAUUUACUCGCGGGCGCCUGUGACCCACCUAAUCCGUAUCCGUUGGAAAUCCCGAACGGGAAAACCGAAACGCCGUCUCCGGGAGACGCGUUCGUGUUACCGCGACGGAAACACCGUGUCGCCGUCGUGUGCGGGUGCCCCGGUUCCCGCGCGACGUGUCGUGGCGGCCGUCGCUUUUCGCCGGACGCGUGCUACGCGCGUCGCGGUAACGGCCGCGAAAACACACGGCCGCCGCCCGGCAAACACGUACGUGCCCCGUCAAUCGGAUUUUCGUUCGGUUUUUUUUUUUUUUUUUUGCUUCUUCGCGCGUCCGCUUUCUAUGCAAAGUGAAAUUAUUCGUCACCGGCCGCGCGCAUCGUCUGCACCGCGUGUAAUACGCGUGAUGCGGGCACAGGAUAACACGAUAAUGUUUUUUUUUUUUAUUAUAUAGCCGCCUCGUCUGCGGCGCGCGAGCCAGCGUCCGAAAUUGGAUCGAUUAAACGGCCGGGGUACAGCGUAUAAAACAUGUUAUAUGAUUAAAAAAAAAAUCUUAAUAAUAGUAUAUAAAAAAAAUAUAUAUAUAUAUAUGUAUACACGCGUGUAACGCGACGACGAAGACGGACGGCGAAAGCAGAUUCUUUGCGAGACGACACGCGUACGCACACACGCACACGCGCGCGCGCGCGCUGACGUAUUAUGUUCGCACGAAACAAUUUCACCGAUUCCGUAUUAUUAUUUAUUGUUGUUGCGGACGGUCUUUUUCUUCUAUAUUUUUUUUUUUUUUUUGUAAUUUAAUUAAAACCCCAAUCGGCGAAUUCUCUUCGCCCGCUCUCGGUUACGCGCCGUCAGAUUAUACUACAGUACGCGUGCGUCCGCCGACUUUCGGUCGAUUAUUCGCAGAUACGUGUACGUACAUUAUUAUGCGUCUACACGGGUACUCGACAAAUACCGCGUUUUGUCGUCGCAACGCGAAUCGGGUCACAAAAAUCGAUACGAUUAUAAUACCGCAGGUGCGUAACCACAAUAUACUCUCUUUUCACCCGUUUAUUUUUGUUUUCAUUAUUUAUGCGAUGGGAGCGCGCCGCCGGCCGAAUUCCGCGUUUUAACUGUAUCGACGAGAGCGCGCGCGGAAGUCGCGGACCGGAGGCGGAACGACGGUGGCUUGGACCGGAUCGCGGAGACGACUAAUUAAAAAAUAAUAGAAAAGAAAUAACUCCCCCCCGCCCACGUAUUUACGGGCCCUACUGCCGAGUUCGGUGCGAGCAGAAACGCGAACAAUAAUAAUAACCUGAUCGAUGGAUUUAGGAGGUUUUACGAAACAUAACCUAUAAUACUUGUCGGCCCGAACCUGAUACAGGUGUAUACUGUUCCGAUGCACGGUCUUAGAAGACAAGGCCGGGCCACCUUUGCUGAUCACCACUGUGUUAAUUUUGCGAUCGCUUAGUGGAACAGAUUCAGUUCAAUUGUUCACCACUUCGUUCAGUGAGCGCCUUAAACUGUAGGACUUUAUUUACAUUAUACAAUCAAAUAUCGUAAAUUUAAGUUGUUUUUUUUUUUUUCAAUUUAAUGACUUUUUCUAAAAUCAUAUGUAUGUCAAUCGAAUUCAACAAUAUAAUUAUUUAUUCUUAACUAUAUACAACAGUAUAGCUUAUAUAUUUUGUUACAUUUCGUUUUAUUCGUUUUGUUUUAUGAUUUCAGAUACCGCCGGACUGUAAUACGUUUCGUAUACCUAUUAUACUACUGUGUCAUCGUUUUCUUUUCCGGAACUCUGCAGCGGUCGACGGAUAUUCCAGACCCAGACCUAUCGACGGUCCACUAUAAAAUAUAUAGAUGAUCCACUAAUCAGGUAUGC
rnacentral:lncRNA from 1 species